rnacentral:rRNA from 1 species
AGUGAACGCUGGCGGUAGGCCUAACACAUGCAAGUCGAACGGCAGCACAGUAAGAGCUUGCUCUUACGGGUGGCGAGUGGCGGACGGGUGAGGAAUACAUCGGAAUCUACUUUUUCGUGGGGGAUAACGUAGGGAAACUUACGCUAAUACCGCAUACGACCUACGGGUGAAAGCAGGGGAUCUUCGGACCUUGCGCGAUUGAAUGAGCCGAUGUCGGAUUAGCUAGUUGGCGGGGUAAAGGCCCACCAAGGCGACGAUCCGUAGCUGGUCUGAGAGGAUGGUCCGCCACACUGGAACUGGGACACGGUCCCGACUCCUACGGGAGGCAGCAGUGGGGAAUAUUGGACAAUGGGCGCAAGCCUGAUCCAGCCAUACCGCGUGGGUGAAGAAGGCCUUCGGGUUGUAAAGCCCUUUUGUUGGGAAAGAAAAGCAGCAGGUUAAUACCCCGCUGUUCUGACGGUACCCAAAGAAUAAGCACCGGCUAACUUCGUG